rnacentral:rRNA from 1 species
GCGGACUUCGGUCUGGCGGCGAGUGGCGAACGGGUGAGUAAUACAUCGGAACGUACCCUGUUGUGGGGGAUAACUAGUCGAAAGAUUAGCUAAUACCGCAUACGACCUGAGGGUGAAAGCGGGGGACCGCAAGGCCUCGCGCAGCAGGAGCGGCCGAUGUCUGAUUAGCUAGUUGGUGGGGUAAAGGCCCACCAAGGCGACGAUCAGUAGCUGGUCUGAGAGGACGAUCAGCCACACUGGGACUGAGACACGGCCCAGACUCCUACGGGAGGCAGCAGUGGGGAAUUUUGGACAAUGGGGGCAACCCUGAUCUAGCAAUGCCGCGUGUGUGAAGAAGGCCUUCGGGUUGUAAAGCACUUUUGUCCGGAAAGAAAUUGCUCUGGCUAAUACCUGGGGUAGAUGACGGUACCGGAAGAAUAAGCACCGGCUAACUACGUGCCAGCAGCCGCGGUAAUACGUAGGGUGCGAGCGUUAAUCGGAAUUACUGGGCGUAAAGCGUGCGCAGGCGGUUUUGUAAGACAGGCGUGAAAUCCCCGGGCUCAACCUGGGAAUUGCGCUUGUGACUGCAAGGCUAGAGUGCGUCAGAGGGGGGUAGAAUUCCACGUGUAGCAGUGAAAUGCGUAGAGAUGUGGAGGAAUACCGAUGGCGAAGGCAGCCCCCUGGGACGUGACUGACGCUCAUGCACGAAAGCGUGGGGAGCAAACAGGAUUAGAUA